rnacentral:rRNA from 1 species
GAUGAACGCUGGCGGCGUGCUUAAUACAUGCAAGUCGAACGGAAAGGCCCAAGCUUGCUUGGGUACUCGAGUGGCGAACGGGUGAGUAACACGUGGGUGAUCUGCCCUGCACUUCGGGAUAAGCCUGGGAAACUGGGUCUAAUACCGGAUAGGACGAUGGUUUGGAUGCCAUUGUGGAAAGUUUUUUCGGUGUGGGAUGAGCUCGCGGCCUAUCAGCUUGUUGGUGGGGUAAUGGCCCACCAAGGCGUCGACGGGUAGCCGGCCUGAGAGGGUGUACGGCCACAUUGGGACUGAGAUACGGCCCAGACUCCUACGGGAGGCAGCAGUGGGGAAUAUUGCACAAUGGGCGCAAGCCUGAUGCAGCGACGCCGCGUGGGGGAUGACGGCCUUCGGGUUGUAAACUCCUUUCGCUAGGGACGAAGCGUUUUUGUGACGGUACCUGGAGAAGAAGCACCGGCUAACUACGUG